GAUGAAGAACGCAGCGAAAUGCGAUACGUAGUGUGAAUUGCAGAAUUCAGUGAAUCAUCGAAUCUUUGAACGCACAUUGCACCUCUCGGUAUUCCGGGAGGUAUGCCUGUUCGAGCGUCAUUUGUACCCUCAAGCUCUGCUUGGUGUUGGGUGUUUGUUCCGCCUCUGUGUGUGAACUCGCCUCAAAACAAUUGGCAGCCGGCGUACUUGUUUCGGAGCGCAGCACAUUUUGCGAUCCAGAUCAACGUACAGCGGCAUCCAAGAAGCCUUAUUUAACGCUCUUGACCUCGGAUCAGGUAGGGAUACCCGCUGAACUUAAGCAUAUCAAUAAGCGGAGG
rnacentral:misc_RNA from 1 species